rnacentral:rRNA from 1 species
GAUGAGCGCUGGCGGCGUGCCUAAUACAUGCAAGUCGAGCGAACGGACGAGAAGCUUGCUUCUCUGAUGUUAGCGGCGGACGGGUGAGUAACACGUGGAUAACCUACCUAUAAGACUGGGAUAACUUCGGGAAACCGGAGCUAAUACCGGAUGAUAUUUUGAACCGCAUGGUUCAAAAGUGAAAGACGGUCUUGCUGUCACUUAUAGAUGGAUCCGCGCUGCAUUAGCUAGUUGGUAAGGUAACGGCUUACCAAGGCAACGAUGCAUAGCCGACCUGAGAGGGUGAUCGGCCACGCUGGAACUGAGACACGGUCCAGACUCCUACGGGAGGCAGCAGUAGGGAAUCUUCCGCAAUGGGCGAAAGCCUGACGGAGCAACGCCGCGUGAGUGAUGAAGGUCUUCGGAUCGUAAAACUCUGUUAUUAGGGAAGAACAUAUGUGUAAGUAACUGUGCACAUCUUGACGGUACCUAAUCAGAAAGCCACGGCUAACUACGUG